rnacentral:rRNA from 1 species
GAUGAACGCUGGCGGCGUGCCUAAUACAUGCAAGUCGAGCGAACGGACGAGAAGCUUGCUUUUCUGAUGUUAGCGGCGGACGGGUGAGUAACACGUGGAUAACCUACCUAUAAGACUGGGAUAACUUCGGGAAACCGGAGCUAAUACCGGAUAAUAUUUUGAACCGCUUGGUUCAAAAGUGAAAGACGGUCUUGCUGUCACUUAUAGAUGGAUCCGCGCUGCAUUAGCUAGUUGGUAAGGUAACGGCUUACCAAGGCAACGAUGCAUAGCCGACCUGAGAGGGUGAUCAGCCACACUGGAACUGAGACACGGUCCAGACUCCUACGGGAGGCAGCAGUAGGGAAUCUUCCGCAAUGGGCGAAAGCCUGACGGAGCAACGCCGCGUGAGUGAUGAAGGUCUUCGGAUCGUAAAACUCUGUUAUUAGGGAAGAACAUAUGUGUAAGUAACUGUGCACAUCUUGACGGUACCUAAUCAGAAAGCCACGGCUAACUACGUG